rnacentral:siRNA from 1 species
UCCGACUCAAUUUCUUGCCUC